UGAGUCAUUUACGAGGAAAACUACGUAAAUUCUUCGUUAAAGUUUACUUGGAAUUUACUACGGAAGACACACAGAUUCGUCGUAAAGUUUACAUGUCUUUUUCAACGAAACGGAGCGUGGACUUUAUGAGGAAAGUACAAUCGGUACCUUACGUGUAUUGUACGACGAAAUAUUAGUCUCUUCUUUACGAUGAAAGUUUUC
rnacentral:lncRNA from 1 species